rnacentral:rRNA from 1 species
GAUGAACGCUGGCGGCGUGCUUAAUACAUGCAAGUCGAACGAAGAGCUUUUGUAGCAAUACUGAGGCUUCUUAGUGGCGAACGGGUGCGUAACGCGUUGGUGACCUGCCCCGAAGUGUGGGAUAACAGUUCGAAAGGACUGCUAAUACCGCAUGUGAUCAUCAGUUUUAGAAUCUGAUGAUUAAAGCAGUAAUGCGCUUUGGGAGGGACCUGCGUCCCAUCAGCUAGUUGGUGAGGUAAUGGCCCACCAAGGCUACGACGGGUAGGGGACCUGAGAGGGUGGUCCCCCACACUGGAAUUGAGAUACGGUCCAGACUCCUACGGGUGGCUG